UGGGGAAUCUUCCGCAAUGGACGAAAGUCUGACGGAGCAACGCCGCGUGAGUGAAGACGGCCUUCGGGUUGUAAAGCUCUGUGAUCCGGGACGAAAGAGCCUGAGGUGAAUAGCCUAAGGAAGUGACGGUACCGGAAAAGCAAGCCACGGCUAACUACGUGCCAGCAGCCGCGGUAAUACGUAGGUGGCAAGCGUUGUCCGGAAUUAUUGGGCGUAAAGCGCGCGCAGGCGGCUUCCUAAGUCCAUCUUAAAAGUGCGGGGCUUAACCCCGUGAUGGGAUGGAAACUGGGAAGCUGGAGUAUCGGAGAGGAAAGUGGAAUUCCUAGUGUAGCGGUGAAAUGCGUAGAGAUUAGGAAGAACACCGGGGGCGAAGGCGACUUUCUGGACGAAAACUGACGCUGAGGCGCGAAAGCGUGGGGAGCAAACAGG
rnacentral:rRNA from 1 species